GAGGAGGUGGCUUAAUGGUAAAGUUUAUGCCUUGCAUGCAUGAGGCCCUGGGUUCGAUCUCCAGCACUUCG
rnacentral:tRNA from 1 species